CAGCCUGAGCCAGAAGAAUCUAAACCGAAGAAUGAUGAAGAUACCUGGUACACUGUUGGCAUUGUCAAAGGCACUACAUUUACGGUGCAAAACUACAUAUCUGACCCGAACGUGGAGCUGUCCAACCUGUCGCUGGACAGCCUGCCGGAGCUGGGCGCGCUGCCCACCUCGCCGCUGGAGCACGGCACCGCCUACAAGUUCCGCAUCGCCGCCAUCAACUCCUGCGGCCGCGGCGAGUUCAGCGAGGAGUCUGCGUUCAAGACGUGCCUGCCGGGGUUCCCCGGCGCGCCCUCCGCCAUCAAGAUCUCCAAGUCGCAGGAGGGCGCGCACCUCUCGUGGGAG